rnacentral:rRNA from 1 species
UACGAAGGGGGCUAGCGUUGUUCGGAUUUACUGGGCGUAAAGCGCACGUAGGCGGACUUUUAAGUCAGGGGUGAAAUCCCAGAGCUCAACUCUGGAACUGCCUUUGAUACUGGAAGUCUUGAGUAUGGUAGAGGUGAGUGGAAUUCCGAGUGUAGAGGUGAAAUUCGUAGAUAUUCGGAGGAACACCAGUGGCGAAGGCGGCUCACUGGUCCGGUUCUGACGCUGAGGCGCGAAAGCGUGGGGAGCAAACAGG